rnacentral:rRNA from 1 species
AUGAUAUUGAGGAUAGGAAACGGAGCUUCGGUUCGGAUAUGGCGGAACAACUGGAUCCCUCGCUCAUCAACGCUUAAGCCACUUAGCCCCCGAGGCCGCUCUCGCCUAAACCGAGUCUCUAGUCUGCUGGAUCAACACGGAGUGUGGGAUGAAUCAAAAAUUCGAGCGACUUUCGCCCCGAUUGAUGUGGAGGCCAUCUUGCGGAUUAGAACAUCGCCACGGCAGGAAUCAGAUUUCUUGGCAUGGAAUCCUGAAAAAAACGGUAUCUUCACCGUGAGAAGUGCUUACAAGCUGGGUAUGCGUCUCAAGGAUCAGGUGAUGAGCUGGGCAUCUUCUAGCGCACAGGCGGACGGUCAGCGGCAAGUUUGGAAGCAACUCUGGAAUCUUCCUGUACCACCCAAGGUCCGGACGUUUGGCUGGCGUGCUAUGUCAAUUGCUCUUGCAACUAAAGUGAAUAAGAAGUACCGAGGCAUGCGGGUGACUAGCUACUGUCAGAUUUGCGGCCAUGCAAAAGAGGAUCUCCGACAUGCCCUGUACUUCUGCCCGCAUGCGUAUGCCCUUUGGAAUGCCAUGCAGGAGGUGUGGCACUUACCUUCACAUGCAACCAUGCAGCAGCUGCCACCGGACUGGAUCCCUGAACUCGUCAGCUCGCUGCCUAUGGAUGAAUGUGCGCCUGUCCUGAUGGUGCUAUGGCGCGCAUGGCAUGCCCGGAAUGAGGUUACUCAUGAUAAGCCGCUGCCAACUAUUGAAUGAUCCCGUCGCUACCUGUGUAGUUACAUGCGAUCCCUGAAGUUGAUCCAGACCGAGUCCGUUGAGAAAAUUAUUAAUGGAAAAGGGAUUAUGGAUGGACCUCCUCUGCCGGUGCAGCCAAUGGUACAGCCGGAUGAGCCAAUUCCUUGGGCAAAACCACCAGCCGGGUGGUCAAAUUAA